GGAGGGGGGACGCGGGAGCAGCGCGGCUGGCGCAGGAGUGUCUGAAAUGGGGAGGUGAAUCGAUAGAGUGGAGGGCUGAGAGUUGCGAGGCGAGAGAGAAGGCGCAAUUCUGAAGACAGAAAGUUGGGUGAGAAAAGGGGGGGAGCUUGCUCUCAAGGGGAGUGAUGGAGACAGAGGAAAAGAGCGUAGGGCUCGGUAGGCAAAAGCCUGAGAAGGGGUGUCAGGAGAAGGAACUGCGAUUUUAAAAAGAAGGGAGAGCUACCGGAAAGGAAAGACAGCAGCAGGGAGGGGCUGUGGCGAGCGGGCGAGCGCUGUCCAGGGUAGAGGUGAGUGGGCUGGGCUGAGGCAACGGUCGGGAGAAAUCCCGGGAAGGCGGCAGGCUGGGAGAGGAACCCCACAGGGGAAGCUCGGGGUCUCCCAGCACCCUGCCGCCCCCUGCUGGGGCGCUGCCAUUUGACAGAAGUAGAGUCUGGGAGGAGGCGGAGCCGAGGCAAGUGCAGCCAAGCAGGGAGAUGGGAGGGACCGCAGCCUCGCAGAACAUCGGGACUGGAGACAGAAACAGGGUCAAGUAAGACUUGGAGCAGAUUCGGACUGUGGAGAGACGGGAAAAUGAAAUGAGAGGAUCCUGCCGCAAGGAAAAAACCUUAGGAUUACCUCGCCUGACCUCUCACUCAAUGUUAUCGUGAAC